rnacentral:rRNA from 1 species
CAGCUCUCCGAGUGGUAGGGAUGAUUAUUGGGCUUAAAGCGUCCGUAGCCGGCUUAGCAAGUCUCCUGUUAAAUUCAGCGACCUAAUCGUUGAGCCGCGGGAGAUACUACUAGGCUAGGAGGCGGGAGAGGCCGACGGUACUUCUGGGGUAGGGGAGAAAUCCUAUAAACCCGGGAGGACCACCAGUGGCGAAGGCUGUCGACUAGAACGCGCUCGACGGUGAGGGACGAAAGCUGGGGGAGCGAACCGGAUUAGAUACCCGAGUAGUCC